AAAAUAAUUGAUAUCAAUUGUUAACAAGGACAUAUCAAUUGUUAACACAUAUCAACUAUUACAUUCUAUUAAGCAUAUGAUAACUAACCGAAAUUUCUUUUCCGAUGCAAUGAGGUUUCGUGCUUGGUGCAUCUACUACAGUAUUGUAGUCUUCAAGCACACCUGCAAAAGUACCUAAGGAUAGGCUUUUGGUACCCAAACCAUUUUGGGUCCUUGGGGGUUAGGCAAAUAAUAAUCGUAGCUAGAAGAUAAAUCCAUAUGUUUCGCUAAACAUAUGGGUGCUAUGUGUCCUACCCGGUUACAAUAGUGACAUACUACGUUCGGGUUGUGCNNN
rnacentral:lncRNA from 1 species